AACGUAGGUGGCGAGCGUUAUCCGGAUUUACUGGGCGUAAAGGGUGUGCAGGCUGCCCCUCAAGUGGUGUAUGAAAGCACCCGGCUCAACCGGGUCAUGGUAUGCCAGACUGAAGGGCUAGAGAGCGAGAGCGGGACGUGGAAUUCCGGGUGUAGUGGUGAAAUGCGUAGAGAUCCGGAGGAACCCCAGAGGCGAAGGCGGCGUUCUGGACUGUAUCUGACACUGAGGAACGAAAGCCAGGGGAGCAAACGGG
rnacentral:rRNA from 1 species